GUAAUUAUCUUUAUAACAAUUGAAUAUUCGAUAAUGCAAAUAAUGUAUGAAAUAUUCAAUAAAACCGCUAAAAUACAAUGAAUAUAAUAAAAUAAGAUGACAUAAAAUGUUUCGGAUCGACUGUACACUGGAAACGUUCUACAUCCGGGGUUCCAGUUUCUACAGCACCAUAAAAAUAAACACUUGGUACAGAUAUUAGUCCUGCUAUUAUUAGAACUACAAAACAAGCAAUGUGUGCCCUCUUUAGUGUAAAUUGUCUGCCAUGGGAAUUCCCUAGUUUUCUUUUCCGGUGGAUUGCAAUGACUGAUAACAUGAAACCGUCACUAGAGCAUGCGUAAUGAAUCGAAAUAGUUUGCAAACAAUGGCAUACUUAAAUCUCAUAUUCAGAACGACAAUGGAUAUUUUGAAUGGGAUACAGAUAACACAUACUGCAAUAUCCACCGAUGACAGCCAUUGAACAAAAACACGGCAAUUCGUUGGUUCAAAACGGAAAGUGUAAAUCAGAAACGCAUGCGCAUUUCUAAAUACACCGACAACGCAAAGUAUUGAUAAAAAAUAUUGUAACUCCAAUCCUAUCUUUUCGAAAAGUAUCUUCUUCCAAGUCUUUGAUGGUUAGAUUUGAAAACAUUCCUCUUCGUCUUUCGAAAUGGACUUCAAUUAAUC
rnacentral:lncRNA from 1 species